rnacentral:rRNA from 1 species
AGAGUUUGAUCAUGGCUCAGAACGAACGCUGGCGGCAGGCCUAAUACAUGCAAGUCGCACGGGAAGCCCCCUUCGGGGGGUGGAGAGUGGCGCACGGGUGAGUAACGCGUGGGAACCUAUCCCGGGGUGGGGGAUAACCACUGGAAACGGUGGCUAAUACCGCACGAUCCCUGAGGGGCAAAGCAGCGAUGCGCCCUGGGAGGGGCCCGCGUCCGAUUAGCUAGUUGGCGGGGUAAGAGCCCACCAAGGCGGUGAUCGGUAGCUGGUCUGAGAGGAUGAUCAGCCACACUGGGACUGAGACACGGCCCAGACUCCUACGGGAGGCAGCAGUAGGGAAUAUUGGACAAUGGGCGCAAGCCUGAUCCAGCCAUGCCGCGUGAGUGAUGAAGGCCUUAGGGUUGUAAAGCUCUUUCGCACGCGAGGAUGAUGACGGUAGCGUGAGAAGAAGCCCCGGCUAACUUCGUGCCAGCAGCCGCGGUAAUACGAAGGGGGCUAGCGUUGUUCGGAAUUACUGGGCGUAAAGGGCGCGUAGGCGGUCGAUCGCGUUGGGUGUGAAAGCCCCGGGCUCAACCUGGGAUGUGCGCCCGAAACGGGUCGGCUGGAGAUCGGAAGAGGAGAGUGGAAUUCCCAGUGUAGAGGUGAAAUUCGUAGAUAUUGGGAAGAACACCGGUGGCGAAGCGGCUCUCUGGUCCGAUUCUGACGCUGAGCGCGAAAGCGUGGGGAGCAAACUGGAUUAGAUACCCUGGUAGUCCACGCUGUAAACGAUGCGUGCUAGACGUUGGGAGCCUAACCUCUCGUGUCGCAGUCACACGUUAAGCACGCCGCCUGGGAGUACGCCGCAGGUAAACUCAUAGGAAUUGACGGGGCCCGCACAAGCCGUGGAGCAUGU